AUUGAACGCUGGCGGCAGGCCUAACACAUGCAAGUCGAGCGGAGCGGCGGACGGGUGAGUAAUGCCUAGGAAUCUGCCUGGUAGUGAGGGAUAACGUUCGGAAACGGGCGCUAAUACCGCAUACUAUCAGAUUAGCCUAGGUCGGGUUAGCUAGUGGGUGGGGUAAAGGCCUACCAAGGCGACGAUCCGUAACUGGGCUGAGAGGAUGAUCAGUCACACUGGAACUGAGACACGGUCCAGACUCCUACGGGAGGCAGCAGUGGGGAAUAUUGGACAAUGGGCGCAAGCCUGAUGCAGCCAUGCCGCGGGUGUGAAGAAGGUCUUCGGGUUGUAAAGCACUUUCAGUGGGGAGGCGUUACUAACAGAAUAAGCACCGGCUAACUUCGUGCCAGCCGCCGCGGUAAUAC
rnacentral:rRNA from 1 species